CAAACUAUUGUUUAAAUAUGUUCUAGACAAGGCAACUAACAAAAAUGAAUAGCAGUUAGUUAAAAAUAGUAUUCUGUUAACUCCAGUAAUCAUUUGACAGCAGUUAUUACCAGAUUUUACUUGUCUAAAUAUUUUGAAAAAUUUUAACAGCUGAAAGGAAUUAAAAAAAUCAUAAAAACAAAAACAAAAUGGCUCUUACUAUGUUAUAGUAAUGUUCUUGAUUAAACUGUGUUUGACAAGUCUUUUUUUGGACACCUAUGAAUGGUGAAGAAGAGGCAACCAGAUUAUUUUAUUCUAAGUUUUGCAUAAUAUUGGUUUCAUUCUAUCUGAUUACUAUGUUAACCAAAAAUAAAUUUUUGGAUAAUUUUUUUUCAUUAAAAAAUAUUGUAAUUGGUCUUUUUAAAAUAAUUCUCUUUGUUUACAAUGGAAUUUUAAAUGUAUAAUUUCACAAAUUACAAUUACUUGUACCUAAGCAUUCUAAGCAAUUAUUAAAUGUUACAACAAAAUGUACUUGUUUACCAAAACUGAAACAUAUUAUUUGACAAAAUAUUCAAUAUUUCUUUCAAAUGACAUUCUUAUUGGUUUAAAACUAGUAUUUGACUAGGACAGUUAAUUUUGUUUAAUUUAUGUCACAUAUCAAACCUCAGACAAAUCAGUUUCAAACUUUUGACAAGUUUUUCAGGUAAUUAUUUGAAAGUAGUCAUUCCCUUUAAAAUUUAAACUUUAAAUAAAAGGUGAUUAUUUAAUUGCAUAAGAAAAUUUUUAUAUCCAGCAAGAUGGCAAUUACUAUAUUUGACAUUGUGAUGAUGAUUGUAUUUAAAAUAUGUCUGUUUAUGAUAUUUCUUUCAUCACCAACUGAAGAGGAUAACGAAACUACAGUAUUUUUCAUUAAAAUAUAUGGGAUACUAGUAGUCUUCUAUUUGACUAUAAUAUUUCUACGAAGAUUCCCAUAAAAUGGACAAGAUGUCUUCGUAUAGUCCCUCGGUUCAAUGUUGGAAUUUAAUAAAUUUAAUUACCGUUGUAAUUUUUUGACCUGAAAAAAUGUCAUAAAAACAAUUGUAUUUACAAUUGACUAAUUUUAUGUAUAACGUAUAAUCUAAGUAGUUUCAGAUUACAAGAGAUUUAUAAUCGGGUUAUUAUACUUUAUGCACAUAAAAAAAUUUGUAUCGACUGCUCGAUUUCUUCUAUAUAAGUAAUUAAAGUUAAGCACAUCUUU